AUUAAAGAACACAUAUCCCCUGAAUCUGUCUGAUCUUGUCUGAUCUUGGGAAGCUAAGCAGGGUCUGGCCUGGUUAGUACUUGGAUCGGAGAACACUUGGUGCAUUCUUAUUA
rnacentral:rRNA from 1 species